rnacentral:lncRNA from 1 species
GGAUAGCUUGUGACUCAAAUGCUGCUGCAUCCUGCCUUUGCUGAAACUCCAGUGUGUGUCCAUGUCCCACCUUUCCUGGAUUGUCCACAAGAAAACCAGCUUACAGAAAGAAAGAAGUAAAUCUUUAAAGACUCAAAACUGAAUUCACUGUCAGCUGUCUGUGUGUAUCUCUCAAACUUGUAUCAGAGACUGGGAAAUUUAUAGCAGCAGCUCUGAUUAGAUGGAAUGAAAUAAUGCCACAGAGAUGGAGGUUGACAUUUACAUGACCAAGCAGAGGAGGGGAAGCUGCUGAACACAUCACUGAGCCUGUGGAACUCUUCACAGUAAGAGGAUUCAAGCCAGCAGAGCCCCCAGAGCUCCCAGGAAACACCCUCACAAAGGCAGGAGAUCUUGAGCAGGCAGUAGAGAGCUACAUCCCCUGGCAGCUCUCAGGAGGGUGAGCUCCAUGCCCAUCCUCAACUCUCCUUUUUGGAGGGUGCUGAGUGCAGGACCGUACAGGAAGCUCACGGGCACUCACAGAAAAACCUGCAGCCCAUGGUGAACUCUUUAUAAAGACGGUGGAGCAGAGUCACAAACCCCAUAUUUCCAGGUUCCUGCACAAACUGAAGGAAUGGUGGCAAAACCAGCCCUGCCAGAACACAGAGGAGACAGAGGCUCUGCAGCUGCUACUGAUGCCCUGGAGUGCCUACCUAGAACAGAGACUAGGCAAGAUUAAGAGACUAAAAAUCUUCAGGUUGUUGCCUGGCUCUGCUACCCUUCACUGUUUUCAAUUUAAACUGCAGUGAUUGUAAAGAGAAGAGAAAAUAAACCAAAUGUUCC